rnacentral:ncRNA from 1 species
UCACCAAGGGGAGCCCCGUCAGGGGGCUGAGAAACUGCCGCGCAGUGACCCUUUGAACCUGAUCCAGUUCAUACUGGCGUAGGGACGGUGUGA